GGGGAAUAUUGCACAAUGGAGGAAACUCUGAUGCAGCGACGCCGCGUGAGUGAAGAAGGUCUUCGGAUCGUAAAACUCUGUCCUUGGUGACGAAAAAAUGACGGUACCAUGGGAGGAAGCCCCGGCUAACUACGUGCCAGCAGCCGCGGUAAUACGUAGGGGGCGAGCGUUGUCCGGAAUGACUGGGCGUAAAGGGCGCGUAGGCGGCUUUUUAAGUUUGGAGUGAAAGUCCUGCUUUCAAGGUGGGAAUUGCUUUGAAAACUGGAGAGCUUGAGUGCGGAAGAGGUAAGUGGAAUUCCCAGUGUAGCGGUGAAAUGCGUAGAGAUUGGGAGGAACACCAGUGGCGAAGGCGACUUACUGGGCCGUAACUGACGCUGAGGCGCGAAAGCGUGGGGAGCGAACA
rnacentral:rRNA from 2 species